CAAAGUGUAGCUUAAUCGUAAAGCAUCCGACUUACACUCGGAAGAUUUCAUAAUUAUGACCACUUUGA
rnacentral:tRNA from 1 species